GUCUAUGGUCAUGCCACCCUGAACAAGCCCGAUGUAUAAUCUUGGAAGCGAAGCAGAGUCAGACCUGGUUAGUACUUGGAUGGGAGACCACCUAGGAAGACCAGGUGCUGUAAGCA
rnacentral:rRNA from 1 species